rnacentral:rRNA from 1 species
GACGAACGCUGGCGGCGUGCUUAACACAUGCAAGUCGAGCGGUAAGGCCCCUUCGGGGGUACACGAGCGGCGAACGGGUGAGUAACACGUGAGCAAUCUGCCCUUCACACGGGGAUAACUUCGGGAAACCGGAGCUAAUACCCGAUACGACCACCUCGGGCAUCCGAUGGUGGUGGAAAGCUCCGGCGGUGAAGGAUGAGCUCGCGGCCUAUCAGCUUGUUGGUGGGGUAACGGCCCACCAAGGCAACGACGGGUAGCCGGCCUGGGAGGGUGACCGGCCACACUGGGACUGAGACACGUCCCAGACUCCUACGGGAGGCAGCAGUGGGGAAUAUUGGACAAUGGGCGAAAGCCUGAUCCAGCAACGCCGCGUGAGGGAUGACGGCCUUCGGGUUGUAAACCUCUUUCAGCAGGGACGAAGCACAAGUGACGGUACCUGCAGAAGAAGCACCGGCCAACUACGUGCCAGCCGCCGCGGUAA